AGCGAACGCUGGCGGCAGGCCUAACACAUGCAAGUCGAACGAACCUUUCGGGGUUAGUGGCGGACGGGUGAGUAACACGUGGGAACGUGCCUUUAGGUUCGGAAUAACUCAGGGAAACUUGUGCUAAUACCGAAUGUGCCCUUCGGGGGAAAGAUUAAUCGCCUUUAGAGCGGCCCGCGUCUGAUUAGCUAGUUGGUUGAGGUAAUGGCUCACCAAGGCGACGAUCAGUAGCUGGUCUGAGAGGAUGAUCAGCCACAUUGGGACUGAGACACGGCCCAAACUCCUACGGGAGGCAGCAGUGGGGAAUCUUGCGAAAUGGGCGAAAGCCUGAAGCAGCCAUGCCGCGUGAAUGAUGAAGGUCUUAGGAUUGUAAAAUUCUUUAACCGGGGACGAUAAUGACGGUACCCGGAGAAGAAGCCCCGGCUAACUUCGUG
rnacentral:rRNA from 1 species